CCUACGGGUGGCAGCAGUGAGGAAUAUUGGUCAAUGGGCGCGAGCCUGAACCAGCCAAGUCGCGUGAAGGAUGACUGCCCUACGGGUUGUAAACUUCUUUUAUAAAGGAAUAAAGUGAGGCACGUGUGCCCUUCUGAAUGUACUUUAUGAAAAAGCAUCGGCUAACUCCGUGCCAGCAGCCGCGGUAAUACGGAGGAUCCGAGCGUUAUCCGGAUUUAUUGGGUUUAAAGGGUGCGUAGAUGGGUUGUUAAGUCAGUCGUGAAAGUUUGCGGCUCAACCGUAAAAUUGCAAUUGAUACUGGCAGUCUUGAGUACGGUUGAGGUAGGCGGAAUGCGUGGUGUAGCGGUGAAAUGCUUAGAUAUCGCGAAGAACUCCGAUUGCGAAGGCAGCUUACUAAACUGCCACUGACAUUGAUGCACGAAAGUGUGGGUAUCGAACAGGAUUAGAUACCCCUGUAGUC
rnacentral:rRNA from 1 species